rnacentral:tRNA from 1 species
GGGAGUAGAUAGCGGCCUGGUGGCGCUCCUGGACUUCAAAUCCUGUGGUGGGCUUAUAAACCCACGGUGGGUUCGAUUCCCAUCUACUCCCGCCA